rnacentral:rRNA from 1 species
CAGUCGCCGCGGUAAUACGUAGGGUGCAAGCGUUAAUCGGAAUUACUGGGCGUAAAGCGUGCGCAGGCGGUUUUGUAAGACAGAUGUGAAAUCCCCGGGCUUAACCUGGGAACUGCAUUUGUGACUGGCGGGCUAGAGUAUGGCAGAGGGGGGUAGAAUUCCACGUGUAGCAGUGAAAUGCGUAGAGAUGUGGAGGAAUACCGAUGGCGAAGGCAAUCCCCUGGGCCUGCACUGACGCUCAUGCACGAAAGCGUGGGGAGCAAACAGGAUUAGAUACCCCCGUAGUCCCUGUCUCUUAUAC